AACUGCCAUUCCAGCAUAAAGAUGCAAUAGGAUGGUGGUUGAACCAACUUGCAAGUAGCCUACCAAUAAGCACAUGUAUUAAGUCUGGCUGUAACCCAGAAGUAUUAGAGGCAGAGGAUCUCUCUUUUGGCUGCUGCUGACAGCAACUACCUUCAGGCAACAACCCAUACUGUACUGGUGGUAGGUAGCCCAGCGGCUAAGGAGUUGGACCUGAGGCAGGAGCAGUACCUGUGGCCGAAAGGUGGCCGGUUUAAAUCCCGGGCCAGGCGCUGGAAAAAACGUAGUAAUUGAUCUGACAAAUGGAGGGCUGCUGGAUUUACAUCCUCAAAACAUUCCCCUACCAUUGGGCCCUUGAGCAAGACCCUUAUACCCACAACAUGCUCUCCAUCCAGGAGUGCUGCACUGCAACUUGAACCUGUGCUCGUCUCAACUGUAUGUGUGAGGUCUGCUGUUUGGGUGGGUUGAGAACGGAGCAGUAGCCACAUCUUUGUUGUUCGCUGUAACUAAUGUAUUGUAUUGUAUUGUAUUGUAAAGAAGUCAGCAAGAGUAGACGUGCGUCAUCAUUCAAACGAACAGAUGCCUCCCUGGCCACCAGUGCACAUUUCCAAUGACAGAAGAUUAAACAAACUG